UUUUAAAUAUCGUAAUAUAUUUUGAUGCUUCUAUAAGAGAAGAUGCACUAGUCUUUAAACCGGUGGAAAACUUGUAACCGGUUUGUCUGAAUAAUAAUAAUAAUAAUAAUAAUAUAUAAUCAAGAGAACAGAAUAUAAAUAAUAAAUGCGUACUAGAAAGAGGAUAGUAUAUGUUUGUCUUCCAAAAGUAUAAGGUGCAUCAAUAUAAUAAGACACCAGUUUUCGAAAAAAAGCAAGAAAAAUUUUUGGAAAUGUCGGUUAUCGAUAAAGCAGAGUCUCCAGAAAUGAUAAUAAUUAUACCGGAUAGAAACACUUCUUGUCCGCCAGAACAACAAAAAGAUCAAUAUGGAAGAUGUCGUCAAAUCCUUUAGCCUACUAGAAAUAUAUAUGCAAGUAAAAUGGAGCAUCGAGCAACGUAACUGGAUAUUAUCCGAUUCUUAAAUUAACGGCGUCAUUAAAAAUAAUGCAAUGUGGAUAUGUGUGUGAUUCUUGAUAUUGUUUUUCUCUUUUUAUAUUGUGGCAAUACCUGUGUUUCAUUACGCAAGCGGUGCCAAUCUGCCGAUCAAAUUUACGUCGCAAUUACGAUCAAAUUGACAUUGGACCUAUAAAACGGACGGUUACAAAUGGUACGAGAAAAUCAAUAGUAACCGGAAGAAUUGCGAUACUUUUAUAAUUAAGCUGAACACAGAUUGAUUUGUAAGGAAAGAGAAAUUUGGAAAAUUCUCUUAUAAUAAACUCUCGUAUUAUCAAAUUAAUGAAAGGAAACAUUAAUUACCGUUGCUACAAUUAAUUACUUCCUUCCAUUGUAACGAUAUAAUUUAAGCAUUUCCACUGUUAAAUAAAUCCUGCAGAUUGUCAGUCUUUUUAA